UGGGACAGUUAAAACAAACAACAACAAGCCCUUGCCACGCUCCCAGACUACUGCCUCACCAGGAUGGAGCUCUUAUGCAUUAUACAUGUUAAACAUCUCCUAUUCAGUGCUAACUUUGACUUUGUGCCCUGGGCCAGGUGAAAAGACUUUUCCAAAUAAGAAAGAAUAAGAAAAAAAACCAAAAAACAACCCACAAAACAAAGCACAAGAAGUAAACCAUAAAUUGAAAUUUCUAUACGAAGACCUUUCUGUGAGCAGCAUUGUUGUGCUUUUUAAAAAAUAGUUUUCUUUACGUCGACUUUUUGGCAAAAUACUGCAUCUUCAGCCAGGAGAAGUUGGCGAAGUACAAAAGGGCUUUUGAAGCGGAGGUUCUGAGUUAUGCUGUCGUCUACCUGGGAGUGCUUAAGUUUCUUCCUCUGCAAGAUGAUGUGGCCAAGCCCAUUAGAUUUGGUGGAGACCCUGAAGAUUUUGUUGAAGGGGCAGAAGAGGACACUUUUUGAAGAUGGAGGAAGCUUUCUUAGGCUAUAGGAAGAGAAGGAGCCUUAGACAGAGAUGUCAGAGGAUGCACAAAAGACCUUUCUACUUGUCUACUAUGAGACACAGUUGAGAUGACAAAAAAAAGUAAAGGAAUAGGUAAAAGUAUAGUUUGUGAAUGACUUUGAAGUAAAAACAGUUGGUUUUGGUAAAAGAAGCUGAAAAACUUAUCAAUUUUCACUUAUACAAAUCUAUUUUCUCCAUCUGUGAGUCUUCUCCAGAUAAAGACUCUUAGGCUCUAUAGUGCCUAAAUAUAACUGACACAUUAUCUCAUUGUGAAACUUAAUGAACAUUUGAGUCUGGACAUAAAGACCGGUGAGGUCAGGGUAUGCGUUAGCCCUGUAUAACAUCAAGUUAAAGACUGUGAUGGCAACUUCCUCUUUUCUUUCAGCAUUUCUUAAUAGUCACAUGAUUUUUUUAUUGUCAGUCAUAUUUCUAAUUCAGCUUUGUUGUGUUACGUAUCCAGAAAUAACAAAUUGUUGAAGAAAAUGAUGUGGAGCCAAAAAAAAUAUAUAUAUAUGCUAAACUACUGUGCUUCUUUGCUUAGUGCAGGCAAAGAUUAAGAGUUCCCAAGGCUUUCCCUCAGUUUGAAAAUGGAAGCAGAGAUUAACCAUACCUUGUCAAAGCUGCGCUUCCAAGACACUGGAGUUCUGCUCAUAGAUGAGUGGCUUAUUUUCUGAAAACUUAAUACUAUUUUAGAGAUUGUUGACUAUUAUGUAACAGAUGGCCUGACAGACCUCCGACUCUUUGCAGUGAUGGCUAGCUUGGCGUAGAAAAUAGCAGCACUGGAGUAAGCAUUCAGCGGCAUAGACGCUCAUGAAUUUUAACUCCUCGGUGACAAAGGAAUUCAAGGGGCAUGGCCAAGAGGGGCUGUCCGAGAUCAAGUCUUAGCUUAGAGAAACUCAGAAACCAGAACUUCCUUUCUUAAUCACAGAAUGGCCUGGGUUGGAAGGGACCUCAAGGAUCAUGAAUCUUCAACCCCCCUGCCAGACAGGGCCACCAACCUCCCC
ensembl:lncRNA